AUUGAACGCUGGCGGAAUGCUUUACACAUGCAAGUCGAACGGCAGCACGGGGGCAACCUUGGUGGCGAGUGGCGAACGGGUGAGUAAUACAUCGGAACGUGCCCAGUCGUGGGGGAUAACGUAGCGAAAGCUACGCUAAUACCGCAUACGAACUCUGGUUGAAAGCGGGGGAUCGCAAGACCUCGCGCGAUUGGAGCGGCCGAUGGCAGAUUAGGUAGUUGGUGGGGUAAAGGCUCACCAAGCCGACGAUCUGUAGCUGGUCUGAGAGGACGACCAGCCACACUGGGACUGAGACACGGCCCAGACUCCUACGGGGGGCAGCAGUGGGGAAUUUUGGACAAUGGGCGCAAGCCUGAUCCAGCCAUUCCGCGUGCAGGAUGAAGGCCCUCGGGUUGUAAACUGCUUUUGUACGGAACGAAAAGGCUUUCUCUAAUACAGAGAGCUCAUGACGGUACCGUAAGAAUAAGCACCGGCUAACUACGUGCCAGCAGCCGCGGUAAUACGUAGGGUGCAAGCGUUAAUCGGAAUUACUGGGCGUAAAGCGUGCGCAGGCGGUGAUGUAAGACAGGUGUGAAAUCCCCGGGCUUAACCUGGGAACUGCAUUUGUGACUGCAUCGCUGGAGUGCGGCAGAGGGGGAUGGAAUUCCGCGUGUAGCAGUGAAAUGCGUAGAUAUGCGGAGGAACACCGAUGGCGAAGGCAAUCCCCUGGGCCUGCACUGACGCUCAUGCACGAAAGCGUGGGGAGCAAACAGGAUUAGAUACCCUGGUAGUCCACGCCCUAAACGAUGUCAACUGGUUGUUGGGUCUUCACUGACUCAGUAACGAAGCUAACGCGUGAAGUUGACCGCCUGGGGAGUACGGCCGCAAGGUUG
rnacentral:rRNA from 1 species